rnacentral:tRNA from 1 species
UAGAGCUUUAAGUUAAUUAAACUACCAGCCUUCAAAGCCGGAAAUAAGAGAUUCUUAAGCUUUAA